CCUACGGGAGGCAGCAGUAGGGAAUAUUGCGCAAUGGGGGAAACCCUGAUGCAGCAACGCCGCGUGAGUGAAGAAGCCAUUCGUUGUGUAAAGCUCUGUCAGCAGGGAAGAAAAUGACGGUACCUGAGUAAGAAGCCACCGCUAACUACGUGCCAGCAGCCGCGGUAAUACGGAGGGGGCAAGCGUUAUCCGGAUGUACUGGGUGUAAAGGGAGCGUAGGCGGCAGUGCAAGUCUGGUGUGAAAGGCGGAGGCUCAACCCCCGGACUGCCCUGGAAACUGGCCGGCUUGAGUGCGGGAGAGGUAAGGGGAAUUCCUGGUGUAGCGGUGAAAUGCGUAGAUAUUAGGAGGAACACCAGUGGCGAAGGCGGCUUACUGGACUGUAACUGACGCUGAGGCACGAAAGCGUGGGGAGCAAACAGGAUUAGAUACCCCAGUAGUC
rnacentral:rRNA from 1 species